UAACACAGAUCUCCAGGUGAUGCCGUUGCACCACCAAGGUGGAGAACUAGUGCCAGUCGCAGCUUUAGUUCAAGAAGCUUCACUACCUCCUCAUGAGGUAGGUUGGCUGUUGCAACAUUUUACAGAUGAGGAAACAGGGUAAGGGAGGUUGAGUGUGCUCGCGUCCCUCUGUGAGCAAGUCCCGUGGCGAGGCGGCCAGUCCAGCCUGAGCAGUCUGACCCUGGAGCCCCGCUGUCCUCUCGUGCCUUCUUUAGGAGGAAGCAAGUCAGUGUCACUGAACUGCGUUCUGUCGCCCUUCACCCCACAGGACUCGGUUCCAGUGAUUUUUUUUCUGCUUGAUGAGUGAAUACACCAACCGUCUAACAGCUUGUCGGCCAUUUGCACAAGAAGUGAAAGCACUUUCAUGAAUACAAGUUACUCAAUUUUUGGCAUGGAGUUUGAUUUGGACCGUAACCGUCAGUAAUCAUUGCUGCCUGCAGAUGUUAGUGGUUGCUGUCCAUCAUGCUGAGUGGUCCCAGGCCGUCAGAUUAAGCUGAGGCAUCUGGAAACACCACAUCUGAACAUCAGUUUUAUGACACCCAGCAAGGAGCCUUCUUUUAUCGUAAUACCUAAAAGUUUCUGAGCCAAGAGGCCACUGCCUGAUAAACUUUGCAGAAACAUCACCUGGAAUUAAGAGAAGAAAUUUCCUUCCAGAACAAAGACCCCAAAGGAAAAAGCAACUCAAUUCAUGAAGGAUGUAAAUAAAUACACCCUAAUUUUCAGGGAGCGUCUUUGGGUAGAUUUUUUUUUUCUCUUGUCACCUAAGCAUUUUACAAGUUCCUCUGACUUUCUAGAUCAAGUGGAAACAAAAAAUACCAUUCUUCAUUUUUGCAGUCAAAUCCACUUGUAUGGAUAGCCCAUGGGACAGGCAGAACUCUGAGCUUAGGACACUAUUGUUUGUGUGUUAGUCACUCA